rnacentral:snRNA from 1 species
UCGAAAAUUUGGCAGUAUUUAAAUUGAAAUGAUACAGAGAUUGGCAUGGCCCUUGUGAAAGGAUGACAUGCAAACUUGUGAAGCAUUUCAUAUUUUA